CGCCCCUCCCACCCGCGGGCCAGCCCCGCGAAGGCGGGCCGAAGGGAAGGGGCGGGCUUGUUUACGGCCCGACUGCGCAGGCGUGCUCACCUGGCGUGCUCCACCCGGCUGGGCGUCCGCAGGCUCCUCCCCCGGGCGUGGCCUCCGGGCGGCCCGGCUGCUUCCCAGGUGAUGUCGGUUCCAGCCGGUGGGGUCUAGUUGACGGUUCCGCAGCCACUAGGACCAACGGAAAGCCGAUCAGGGGGAACCGCAGCGGGGCUGGUGUCAGGAGCCUGAGGUGAACUUGAGGGUGCUUCCUCAGCGGUCUCCCCCCCUGCCCUGAGGGGCGCCGGGACCCCAAAGAGCGGAGGAAGAGCGCCACCCCGACUGCCACCGCUUCGGGGCCAGCACGCGGGGUACCCUACAGGGAGCGCGGAUGCCCCUGUGUUCGGGCGGGGACGGCUCCACCCCUCCUGGGCCCUCCCUUUGGGACGGGGACUGUCCCGCCCAGAGAGAGUGCUGACUACCCUCCCGACCGUCUUGAUCCCCGGUCAGGAAGCAAGCCCCUUGGAAGCCUCCUCGCCGCCGUUUCUGAGAAGGUACCGAAGGACUCAAGAUUUACGCUUCACUAUGUUUUAUUUCAGGCCGGGUAGGGGGAGAGAAGAAUGUGGUACAGCAUGAAUAUCCUAAUUCCUAUGUGUGGUGAGCACUGGCGGCCUCCGCUUCUUAGCGGAGGUUUGUCCUUUCCAACUGUUCAGACACACGCGGCGGGGAAGCGCUCUGGGAACCGGGGACUGAAUCUAUGCAGGAUUCACUUCUCUUGCUCAGUAGUUUACGAAGAGCUCUUAAUAAAAUUUAAGAGGGAAUAGAAGGCCACUCAGCUGAGAAGACUUCACUCCAAAAAUCACUCCUGCCUGGUAUGCUCUCUGCUUAUUCAUCCCUCACUUUUCAACUUAAAGGCUGCUUUCUCAGAGAGGGUUUCCCUGAGGCCCCAAAUCAGGGCACCCGUUCACUGGUACCAAGAAAAGGCCCAAGUGUUUCCCUUGCAUCAGGUGGUGUCUGGAUCCACCACUCCACACUGUCUCUGGAAACAGCCCUUCCACGUCUCUGCAUUCCCUGUUACUGUGUUGCUGGCCUUCGGACAGAGCCAAGGUGCAUGGCAACACCUCUAUGAGGGUCUGUAGCCAUUUAUAUUGCUUAGGCUACUGCCACAGGACAAAAGAAUGGAAGAGGAGAAAGCAGCAGGAGAGAGAAGUGAACCAAAUUUUGAACGCUGGGAGCAGAUGGACAGGUGGUGACUGACCUUCCCUCAAGCAUCUCUGGAGCCACAGCCCCUAGCCGGCCAUGUCCAGCAUGUGGUAAUUUAUUGAACAAGAAUGGGAGGUACUAAAA